rnacentral:rRNA from 1 species
GCAUAACGCGAAGAACCUUACCCACCUUUGACAUGUACGGAAUCCUUUAGAGAUAGAGGAGUGCUCGAAAGAGAGCCGUAACACAGGUGCUGCAUGGCUGUCGUCAGCUCGUGUCGUGAGAUGUUGGGUUAAGUCCCGCAACGAGCGCAACCCUUGCCAUUAGUUGCUACGAAAGGGCACUCUAAUGGGACUGCCGGUGACAAACCGGAGGAAGGUGGGGAUGACGUCAAGUCCUCAUGGCCCUUAUAGGUGGGGCCACACACGUCAUACAAUGGCUGGUACAAAGGGUUGCCAACCCGCGAGGGGGAGCUAAUCCCAUAAAGCCAGUCGUAGUCCGGAUCGCAGUCUGCAACUCGACUGCGUGAAGUCGGAAUCGCUAGUAAUCGUGGAUCAGAAUGUCGCGGUGAAUACGUUCCCGGGUCUUGUACACACCG